AUUGAACGCUGGCGGCAGGCUCAACACAUGCAAGUCGAGCGGAGAUGAGGUGCUUGCACCUUAUCUUAGCGGCGGACGGGUGAGUAAUGCUUAGGAAUCUGCCUAUUAGUGGGGGACAACAUUCCGAAAGGAAUGCUAAUACCGCACACGUCCUACGGGAGAAAGCAGGGGAUCUUCGGACCUUGCGCUAAUAGAUGAGCCUAAGUCGGAUUAGCUAGUUGGUGGGAUAAAGGCCUACCAAGGCGACGAUCUGUAGCGGGUCUGAGAGGAUGGGCCGCCACACUGGGACUGAGACACGGCCCAGACUCCUACGGGAGGCAGCAGUGGGGAAUAUUGGACAAUGGGGGGAACCCUGAUCCAGCCAUGCCGCGUGUGUGAAGAAGGCCUUAUGGUUGUAAAGCACUUUAAGCGAGGAGGAGGCUACUGAGACUAAUACUCUUGGAUAGUGGACGUUACUCGCAGAAUAAGCACCGGCUAACUCUGUGCCAGCCGCCGCAGUAACAC
rnacentral:rRNA from 1 species